AUCCAGCUGACGAGUCCCAAAUAGGACGAAACGUACAUCCUUAAU
rfam:Schistosoma curassoni strain Dakar, Senegal genome assembly, scaffold: SCTD_scaffold0000951